ensembl:lncRNA
CUUCAGCCUUCUGGUAGUAUAAGGCAAAAUCAACUAUUUCCUCCUUAGAUUGUUUUUGGUUGUGGUGUUUUAUCACAGCCACAGAAAAGUAACAACAAUCUGCUAGGAAAGGCAUUGUUGAGGUCACAAUAGCUUCUCCAGGCACAUGUCACUGAAGUCAUCAUAGGACGAGUGCUGGGCUAAACCCAACAUUUCAGGACGUUCAUGGUAACUAUAUGAACCAGACAACCAGAGUUGAUGAGGACUGCUGGCCCUUAUCCAGGUUUUGAUGGGUGUCCCUUGAUGAAUUCAAAUUGGACUAAGAAGACAUUGAGAAGUUUUUCCAUGAGUUUCAAGUGCUGGUGGUGAUUUGACAUCAGUCUGCAUCUUGUGAGACAUUUCUGUCCUUCUGACUAGUGUCUAUUUGAGAGAAGCACUGUGAAGUUUGUACCACAAUUGGUCUUGGUGCAGGGUGCCUCACUGGCCUGGAACAUCACCAAGUAGGCUAAGCUAGGUGACCAGCAAGCCUCCAGGGACCCAGCUGUCUCCACCUCCCAUCUCACUGCUGCUGGGAUUUGAACUGCAUCGCCACACCUGGCUUUUUACAUAGGUUCUGGAGACUCCAAGGCCUUGUCAACUGAACCAUUUCUUCAGCCAUACUUGUUUUUGUUUUUUCGUUUUGUUUUGUUUUGUUUUGUUUUGGUUUGGUUUUUUGGGGUUUUUUUCCUUUUCUUUUUUUCGGAGCUGGGGACCAAACCCAGGGCCUUGCACUUGCUAGGCAAGCGCUCUACCACUGAGCUAAAUCUCCAACCCCUCGUUUUGUUUUGUUUGGAGAUGGGGUCUAGCUAUGUCGCCUAGGCUGGUCUCAAAGCCACAACCUUCUGUCCCCCAAGUGCUUGCUUGUUCCACUAAUGGCUAGUUUUACUGAGUUAUCACUGGUGUGUGUGUGUGUGUGUGUGUGUGUGUGUGUGUGUAGUGUGUGUAUAUGUGUGUGUGAUAUACUCAUAUAUAUGAGUAUAUAUGUGUGUGAAUGUGUGUGAGUGUGUGAGUGUAUAUGUGUGUGUGAUAUACUCAUAUAUAUGAGUAUAUAUGUGUGUGAAUGUGUGUGAGUGUGUGAGUGUAUAUAUGUGUGUGAUAUACUCAUAUAUAUGAGUAUAUAUGUGUGUGAAUGUGUGUGAGUGUGUGAGUGUAUAUAUGUGUGUCUACGUGUGUGAGUAUGAGUAUAUUUGUAUGUGUGUAUGUGUGUGUGAGUGUGUAUGUGGUAUGUAUGUGUGUGUAGUAUGUAUGUGUGUGAGGUAUGUGUGUGUAGUAUGUAUUUAUGUGUGUAUAUGUGUGUAUGUAUGUGUAUGUGGUAUGUAUGUGCAUAUAUGUAUGUGUGUGUAUGUGUGUAUAGUGUGUGUAGUAUGUGUGUAUAUGUGUGUGUGAGUAUACGUAUGUGAAUGUGUGAGUGUGUGAAUGUACAUGUGUGUAUCUACGUGUGUGAGUGUGUGAGUAUGUGUGUAUGUGAGUGUGUUUGUGGUAUGUCUGUGUGUGAGUGUGUGUGUGGUAUGUAUGUGUGUGGGAGUGUGUGUGGUAUGUGUGUAUGGUAUGUAUGUGUGUGGGAGUGUGUGUGUGGUAUGUGUGUGUGUAGUAUGUAUGUGUGUAUAGUAUGUAUUUAUAUGUGUGUAUGUGUGUAUGUGUUUGUAUGUGUAUGUGGUACGUAUGUGUGUGGGUAUAUGUUGGUAUGUGUGUUUGUGUGUAUAUGUGUGUAUGUGUGUGCAUGUGUGUGUAGUAUGUAUGUGUAUAUAUGUGUGUAUAUGCAUGUAUGUAUAUAUGUGUGUAUAUGUGUGGGUAUGUAUGUGUGCAUGUGUUUGUAUGUGUGUGUGUAUGUAUGAGCUUGUUGUAUUCAUAUACAGGCGCACUAGCCUAUUCAUGCCCAUGGUAGAGACUAAAAGGUGUCUUCCUCUACCCCUUUCCACCUUAUCUUUUUCACAAGGUCUUUUGCUAAACUAGAGCUCACAGUGUUAGACACACUGACCAGUCUCUCUCCAGAGCCCACUGUGCUUCGAUGAAUGUGCUGCCAUCUCCAGCUUUCAUCCGGUUCUCUCCAGGGCCUCAUUAGCAUUCUCGUCAUCUGCCAAAGUCGGCUCUUCCUUGGCAAGAACAAAGCAGAACCUUCAUCUUAUCUGCAGGAGAACACCAGGGUUCAGUUUCCUCUGUUCACUUGAUGCUGAGAAGAGCCUCAGUCCAGGGCACUGUGCCAGCUUGUGCUAUGUUCCCAGAGCUGUCAGUGCACAUCCUUGUCAGCAGGAAUGGAUCACAGAGUAAUUUCCAUUCCUGCAGAAAAACCAGCCUAGGAGCUUCGAGCAGCAACCUGAGCGGCCUGUGGAGCCAGGCUGCAUUCCCAGCUGCAAACAGCCCUGCAAAAUGACUCCGAGGAGGAGGUUGGAGAAAGGAGUGCACCGUGACCAGAUUAGCAACUGUGGGUAUUCACCUGAGCAAAAGGUCAGGAUUCAAAGAUGGAGGACCUCUGCCUUCUAGUAGUCAGAACACUGUGUUUUUCUCAUCUGUAGGGUGGGAAGCCCAUUAAGCUCUCUCUUUUCUCACAACACAGGGCUGUUGUGAGGAUGGUGAUGAAGUAAACAGGUAAGGCCUGCAGAGUGAGGAAAGGUUGAUGUGUUUUAUAGCAGCAUGAUACAGCAAGAUGGCGUGCCUCAGUGGACCCAUUCUGAGGCACACACCCCCUCCCCACCACCGCCCUGAGGUGUCAGCCAUGUGAUGGGUCUGGUAUAAAAUAUAAAAUGAAGUUUAUCUGGUACCUGGAAAGGGGAUCAGAGAAAGAAAGGGGUCAGAAAAAGACAGAGAGAAGAGAGAGAACAAGGAAAGAGGCUGACCAGGAACAUGUUGGGAGAGAGAGAUGAUGGAGGGAGAGUGAGAAAGUGAGAGAGAUAACAUGGAGGGUCCUUUUACAUGUCAAUCAGGCUCAAUGUGGCUGUUGCUAGGUAACUGUUGGGCAGAACCUAGAGGAAAUGCUAACACAAGUGACUCCCACAAUCCCUGCAAGCUGUAUCUUCUUAGACAAGCUGAGGAGCCAGGACAUGCUAGUCCUCAUUUGACAAGCCAAAAGGUAGCAAUGAAGUGAAGUAGCCCGGCAGUGGAAAGCACACGAUGGGGAAAAACUGACUCUGGAGGGUGCCUGAAAGUCUGCAGAGACUAGCUCCAGACACAGAGGAGCUCAAGAAGUUCCCUAGGCCAUCCAAGGUCAAACAAAUGGAAUGCAGUAUGGGCCUCUUUUGCUUCAAAGGUACUCUCUCUGCCUUCCACAGCCUCUGUUUCUGGAUUGCCUUCCUCUUCCUCUGCCUGUAGAGAGGCUGGACAUGAUACAAGAAUGAGUUAGGAAGGCAACCCUUCUUCUAGACAAGCCAAACUGCAUCCUAACACAUACAAGACUUAUUGUCUCCACCUUCAGUGCCUAAGAGGCCUAUACUGAAUGUCCAGUUGCAUGAUCUUGGGGAGUUUAAGACUUCUCUGGUUCUUCAUUGUUUUCUCAGUGAGAAGGGUACUUUUCAAAAAGCUUGUGGGGACUGGGGAGAUAGCGCAACAUGAGGACUUGAGAUCAAAACCCAGAACCCACAUAAAAAGCCAGGUGUGAUAACACAUGCUUGUCAUCCCAGCAGUGGGGAGGCAGGGAAGUUUGCUAGCCAGCUAAGGUAGUCAAGUCAGCAAGCUUCAAGGCUAUGAAAGUCCUGUCUCAUAACACAAGGUAAAUAGCACUAAGAAAGGAAAUCUCAGGUUGACCUCUGAUUUCUGACACCCCCCCCACACACACACACACUCAUAAAAGUGAAGAUGUUUGCAGACAGUAGAGAACAAGUAUCACCAAGUUGGCCCCAGAAUUAGUGACCCAUUUCUCCGGAUUCUACAACCAGCCCCACACUUCUAAUGUUCUCAUUGGAACCAUGAAGUGGUUGGUGACUUAACUCACUGAGGACAGCCACAGGUUGAAUCUAUGGGGAUCUUCCAGGCACAGCCUCCUUCCCUUAGGGUUCCAGUUGCCAAGGCUGCUUCUCACUGACACCAGAAGAGAGUAGGUCUGUUCUUCCCCUGGGCUGGAAGCAGUGUUCUGCUGACAAGAAUGGCCCUUGGAGCUAACACUCCCACCAGGCACACAGGAGAGCCAUGGGGAAUAUACCACUCAAAGCCUGGCCUAGAAACUGCUCCCCAACCCUAGGGACCUAGAGCUCUCCAGUUCCACCCCUGGAGUCAGCAGAGAAGAAGGGUCUUCAGCGAGCUUCCCAGAGAGGCUGAGCCCUUCACAGCUAACCAGGGAACUCCAAGCAUCAACAGAAUUUGAGAGGACAUUGAAGGACCCAAGUCAGAGCCUGGGAGGAUCUACCCUACAGUGAAAGCUCAUCUUAGCUUUUAUCUACCUGCACAUAAAGCCUUUAUCUCCAAACACCAUGCACAGAGAUACGACCAUUUCCUAUUUCAUCUCCCAGCUCAAUCAUGAUCUCUUCAACACAGUCACCAGUACCUGGCAGAGAGCCAGGCAUUUAGUAAACAUGCUUUGAGUUCAGAGAGAAGGAGCUCAGCUGGAUUCUCUGGGUGUUGUCAACUGUACUUGAGAGUUCUGUGUCAGACUUUUCAAUGCUGUUACAAAUACCCAAUCAACAUAUUGUAAAAGGAGCAAACAUUUGUUUCGUUUCACAGUUUCCCAGGUUUCCACUCAUGGUCUGCUUGGUCCAUUGCUUUCAGGGCUGUGGUAAGCAGAGCAUCCUGAAGUAGAGACAUGUAUGCCUCACCUUGAGCCAGCUGAGAAGCAGAGAAGGGAAAACAGGAAGGGACCAGGCCAAGAUGUAAGGCCACGCCCCCACGGGCCUGCUUCCUCUUAUCAGCCCUCACUUCCUGCCUUUUGCGGUCACCGAAUACUGCUGCCACAUUGUGACUCCAUAAGGAGUGAAAUAGCGUCUCGUCUCGGCCUUUUAGCUAAGAUCAUGUGUAACAUCAGGAGUGAAUCCAUUGAUUGGGUCAGGAUCCCCAGGAUCCGGUCACUUCCCCAAAGUCCCUAGUCAUUUUUCUAUUGCUGUAAUAAAACGCCCUAACCAAAGAAGACGUUUAAUUUUUCUUAGUUCCAGAGAAUGAGAGAGGCUACAGUGAGGGAGCAGAAGAGCUGAGAAUUCAAAUCUCGAUCCACAAGCAGGAGGCAGAAAGUGCACUGGAGCGUCAAAGCCCUCGGCAGCAGCACUUUCCCAACAAACCCG